rnacentral:rRNA from 1 species
CCUACGGGUGGCAGCAGUGGGGAAUCUUCCGCAAUGGACGAAAGUCUGACGGAGCAACGCCGCGUGAGUGAAGAAGGUCUUCGGAUUGUAAAGCUCUGUCGUUUGGGACGAACGUGGGUUGAGUGAAUAAUUCAGCCUAAUGACGGUACCAAAGGAGGAAGCCACGGCUAACUACGUGCCAGCAGCCGCGGUAAUACGUAGGUGGCAAGCGUUGUCCGGAAUGAUUGGGCGUAAAGGGCGUGUAGGUGGAUUCUUAAGUCGUGUGUCUAAGUGCGGUGCUCAACACCAUAUGGGCGCAGGAAACUGGGAAUCUUGAGUGCAGGAGAGGAAAGUGGAAUUCCCAGUGUAGCGGUGAAAUGCGUAGAUAUUGGGAGGAACACCAGUGGCGAAGGCGACUUUCUGGACUGUGACUGACACUGAGGCGCGAAAGCCAGGGGAGCGAACGGGAUUAGAUACCCGGGUAGUC